UACAGAGACCUCAAGCGUUAUCCGGAAUCAUUGGGCGUAAAGCGUACCGAUAGGUGGUUUUACAAGUCAGAAGUGAAAUCUCUCAGCUUAACUGGGAGACUGUCUUUGAAACUGUAAACUAGAGGGCAAAGAGGAAGCUGGAACGAACGGUGUAGUAGUGAAAUGCGUUGAUAUCGUUCGGAACACCAAUAGCGUAGGCAGGCUUCUGGGUGCCACCUGACACUGCUAGGACGAAAGCGUGGGAGCGAAGUGGG
rnacentral:rRNA from 1 species